GAGGGUAUAGCUCAGUGGUAGAGCACAUGCUUAGCAUGCAUGAGGUGCUGGGUUCAAUCCCCAGUCCCUCC
rnacentral:tRNA from 1 species